CCCCCAACUUAAAGUGUGCUUUGAGUUUUGGCCCCCUGUGCAAUUGAAUUUGACACCCCUGUUCCAAAGCAACCAUUUGUCCAGGGGAACUAAGCUCUGUGAUAAUUCUGGGAGAUCUCAAGGUUCAACGUGGAGAUUGGCAACCUAUCCAUGGGGACAGCUGAAAUACAAGAGGGCAGGUUGGAUAUUAUUUUAUUUUCCCAAGUUGGAUCCAGCAACUCUCUUCAACUCAGAUAUCUACUGAAAUCACCAAUAGAAAAGGUCUUUGUCUUGGCAAGACUUCACACCUCAAAUUUUAUUCUUGACUUCAUGGAAGGGAAUAUAAGUUUUUGGUUGUGAAGGUGAAGAUCUGCUACUUGCUCUCCAAGUUUUGCUGAGUAUCUGGAAGAUCAAAGAAAGAAGACCUACCACCUUUCCAAACUAGUCAGACUAGUCAAAACUAGUCAAAAUGGCAGCUCAGACUUAUGCAGAAAAGAAGGAUUACUUAAACAUAACAUACACAGGCACCCCAGAUGAAAUAUAUGUAUAAUUAAAAAUGGGAAGGAUAUGGAACAGCUGAAUUCGGAAAUAACAUGGAAAUAACAUAAGAAGAAAUGUAUGCCACCAAGCCAGGUGUGUCUGUUAAUAAAAAUUAAUUGAUACAAAGCAAGUAAAGUAAUGCCUUAUUUGACAAAAAAAACCACCUGUUCAAAUAUAAUAGUAAAUAACAAUCCCCAAAGUCUCCAAAAUAGUAUCAUCUUUGUAACUGCCAUUAUUUACCAGUAAAAAUCAAAAUUAGCUUUGUGAUACAAAUAUUUAGCAUUUCCUGCUUGGCUCCCUGAAGUAUUAAAUCCCCAAUUUCUGACAUUAGUUUUUAAACCUUGGAACUUUACAGAGCAUUUUGUCACAUGGAAAUGUGUCAAAUUCACAUAAUUUGAACACAGCCACAUUUCCUUUCCAGUUUUCUUCUUACUGGCUACAGCACAAAUCUAGAUUCAGAGAAAAACCUGGGUAGUCUUACUAUGUAUUGACAGCCUCACCCAUUCUAAGACGAAUGACAAAAUUGCCUCAGAAGAAGUGUGCAUGCACACUUAUACCAAAAAUAAAACUUUGUUGGUCUUAAAGAUGCCAAUGGCCAAAGUUCAAAAAGGGAGAAAUUGCAAGUCAGUUCAGAUAAGAAAGAAUUGGUUUUAUGGCUGUGAGAUAUCUAGUACUCAUUCAUAAAAGGAUUGUAUUUAAACAAUAAAACAAGUACUGC